AGAGCUUAUAUUCCUUCAUGACUAUUACAUGUUCUCUCUUACAUCAGUAGAUUCAAAUCUAACGGAUUGCAAUAGUAGGCCAAUGUGAGUAUGACACAUGGCAUUACACAGCUGUCCUAACAGCUGGGAAUUCAAAACAGACUCAAGCAAUGCACCUGGCAUAUAAGCACAAGGCACAUAGCUAACACAGAUUAAAAACAGAUUGAAUAUAAACUGACAUAAAACUUAGUAACUAA
rnacentral:lncRNA from 1 species